rnacentral:rRNA from 1 species
AUUGAACGCUGGCGGCAGGCCUAACACAUGCAAGUCGAGCGGGGUUUUCGGACCUAGCGGCGGACGGGUGAGUAAUGCGUAGGAAGCUACCCGAUAGAGGGGGAUACCAGUUGGAAACGACUGUAAUACCGCAUAAUGUCUACGGACCAAAGUGUGGGACCUUCGGGCCACAUGCUAUCGGAUGCGCCUACGUGGGAUUAGCUAGUUGGUGAGGUAAUGGCUCACCGAGGCGACGAUCCCUAGCUGGUUUGAGAGGAUGAUCAGCCACACUGGAACUGAGACACGGUCCAGACUCCUACGGGAGGCAGCAGUGGGGAAUAUUGGACAAUGGGCGCAAGCCUGAUCCAGCCAUGCCGCGUGUGUGAAGAAGGCCUUCGGGUUGUAAAGCACUUUCAGCGAGGAGGAAGGGGUGAGUGUUAAUAGUACUCAUCUUUGACGUUACUCGCAGAAGAAGCACCGGCUAACUCUGUGCCAGCCGCCGCAGUAACAC